rnacentral:lncRNA from 13 species
ACACACACACAGCCACACACACACAGACACACACAGACACACACAGACACACACACAGACACACACACAGCCACAGACACAAAACAGACACACACACACUCACAUCCACACACACAACCCCACAGACACACAGUCACACACAGAUAUACACACAGACACACACACACACACACAUAGCCACACACACAGGGUCUGCCACACAGCUGCCUUACAUAGACACACACACAGAGACACACACACACAUACACAGACACAAUUCCCCCCACACAGCCCCCACACACACAGUCACACACACACACAGCCACACACAGCCACACAUACAGCCACAGACACAAAACAGACACACACACACAUAUAUCCACACACACAUAUAUCCACACACACACAACCACACAGCCACACACACAGCCACACACACAGCCACAGACACAAAACAGACACACACACACUCACAUCCACACACACAACCACACAGACACACAGUCACACACAGAUAUACACACAGACACACACAGACACACACACAGCCACACACACAGGGUCCGCCACACAGCUGCCUUACACAGACAGACACACACACACAUACAGACACACACAACCACACAGACACACAGUCACACACAAAAGACACACACACAGCCCCCACACACACAGCCACACAUACAGCCACAGACACAAAACACACACACACACAUCCACACACACACAACCACACAGACACACAGUCACACACAGAUAUACACACAGACAUACACAGACACACACACACAGACACACACACAUAGCCACACACACACGGUCUGCCACACAGCUGCCCUACACAGACACACAAAGAGACACACACACACAGAGACACACACACAGCCUCCCCCACACACAGCCCCCCACACAGAGACACACACAGCCACACACACACAGCCACACACACACAGCCCCCACACACAGACACACACACAGAGUCACACACAGACACAAAACAGUGACACACACAGACAUCACACACACAUACACACAGACUCCUGCCUCCGCAGGAACACGCUGGUGCUCCCGUCCACCCUGCCCCAGGGAGCAUGUGUUUCGAAGGUGUGUCGGGUGGACCUGCUGGGUCCCUGAGACCAUGGACAGCCCCUCCUGCGGGGCAGCUCAGGCACCGGGAGGAGGUGCAGGAUAGCCCCCCUUCUGGUCCUUGCUUACUCACGCGGCCACCUCUGUCCCCCAGAAUCCAGUCAACACCCUUUCUCCAGCCUGAAGCCCCACAAG